CCUACGGGUGGCAGCAGUGGGGAAUAUUGCACAAUGGGGGAAACCCUGAUGCAGCGACGCCGCGUGCGUGAAGAAGUAUUUCGGUAUGUAAAGCUCUGUUAGCAGGGAAGAAAAUGACGGUACCUGACCAAGAAGCACCGGCUAACUACGUGCCAGCAGCCGCGGUAAUACGCAGGGGGCAAGCGUUAUCCGGAUUUACUGGGUGUAAAGGGGGCGUAGACGGCAGGGCAAGUCUGGAGUGAAAGGCGGAGGCUCAACCCCCGGACUGCUCUGGAAACUGCCAGGCUGGAGAGCAGGAGAGGUAGGUGGAAUGCCUAGUGUAGCGGUGAAAUGCGUAGAGAUUAGGAAGAACACCAGUGGCGAAGGCGGCUUACUGGGCUAUAACUGACGUUGAGGCUCGAAAGCGUGGGGAGCAAACAGGAUUAGAUACCCCAGUAGUC
rnacentral:rRNA from 1 species